rnacentral:rRNA from 1 species
UGGGGAAUAUUGGACAAUGGGGGCAACCCUGAUCCAGCCAUGCCGCGUGAGUGAUGAAGGCCUUCGGGUUGUAAAGCUCUUUUGGCGGGGACGAUGAUGACGGUACCCGCAGAAUAAGCCCCGGCUAACUUCGUGCCAGCAGCCGCGGUAAGACGAAGGGGGCUAGCGUUGUUCGGAAUUACUGGGCGUAAAGCGAGUGUAGGUGGUUGUCAUAGUCAGGUGUGAAAGCCUUGAGCUCAACUCAAGAAAUGCACUUGAUACUGGGCGACUAGAGGACCGGAGAGGAUAGUGGAAUUCCCAGUGUAGUGGUGAAAUACGUAGAGAUUGGGAAGAACACCAGUGGCGAAGGCGGCUAUCUGGACGGUUUCUGACACUAAGACUCGAAAGCGUGGGGAGCAAA